rnacentral:rRNA from 1 species
AAGCGUGCGCAGGCGGUUAUGUAAGACAGAUGUGAAAUACCCCGGGCUCAACCUGGGAACUGCAUUUGUGACUGCAUGGCUAGAGUACGGUAGAGGGGGAUGGAAUUCCGCGUGUAGCAGUGAAAUGCGUAGAUAUGCGGAGGAACACCGAUGGCGAAGGCAAUCCCCUGGGCCUGUACUGACGCUCAUGCACGAAAGCGUGGGGAGCAAACAGGAUUAGAUACCCGAGU